rnacentral:rRNA from 1 species
GACGAACGCUGGCGGCGUGCUUAACACAUGCAAGUCGAACGGAAAGGCCCGGCUCUUGUGGGGUGCUCGAUUGGCGAAGGGGGGAGUAACACGUGAGUAACCUGUCCUUGACUGUGGGAUAAAUUCAGGAAACUGGGGCUAAUACCGGAGAGGAGCUCCUGCUGCAUGGUGGGGGUUGGAAAGUUUCGGCGGUUGGGGAUGGACUCGCGGCUUAUCAGCUUGUUGGGGGGGUAGUGGCUUACCAAGGCUUUGACGGGUAGCCGGCCUGAGAGGGUGACCGGCCACAUUGGGACUGAGAUACGGCCCAGACUCCUACGGGAGGCAGCAGUGGGGAAUAUUGCACAAUGGGCGGAAGCCUGAUGCGGCAACGCCGCGUGCGGGAUGACGGCCUUCGGGUUGUAAACCGCUUUCGCCUGUGCCGAAGCGUGAGUGACGGUAAUGGGUAAAGAAGCACCGGCUAACUACGUG